AUCCAGCUGAUGAGUCGCAAGUAGGACGAAACGCGCGUCCUGGAU
rfam:Schistosoma mattheei strain Denwood, Zambia genome assembly, scaffold: SMTD_scaffold0018571